CUAUAAUAAUGAUUAAAAAAAUACCAAGGUAUAAUAUUUAUCUAAGAAGAACCGAGGAUACCCACCUUUAAAUCUCUCUCUCUCUCUCAAAGUUUGACAGCAAUGAUUGUAUUCAUGUAAAUGCGUUUACAAAUACAUACACGAAUGUAACAUGGCAAUGUUCAGUUGUUGUUCAAUGCUGACGUCAUUCCUGGUCACGUGUUUGACAAUUGCCGCUGCCAAGCCUGGUUGUAAUUUGACUGUUUUAGACCACCAAACCAAACAUUAUAAGACAUUGCCAAUGAUUACAAGAGACACGACAUCUUUCUUCACUGAGUACUCCGUGUCUUUUAGUAAGACCAAUGACUCCAAGACAACUAAUGGAAGUAAAGAGAUGGUUACCAGCAGAUUUCAGCCAAGAAGGUGGUUCAACGUUAUGUCCUUACCUUUGUUUUGCCAGGUGGUUCAACGUUAUGUCCUUACCUUUGUUUUGCCAGGUGGUUCAACGUUAUGUCCUUACCUUUGUUUUGCCAGGUGGUUCAACGUUAUGUCCUUACCUUUGUUUU
rnacentral:sRNA from 1 species